rnacentral:rRNA from 1 species
UAGAGUUUGAUCAUGGCUCAGAUUGAACGCUGGCGGCAGGCCUAACACAUGCAAGUCGAGCGGUAACAUGUCUAGCUUGCUAGAUGAUGACGAGCGGCGGACGGGUGAGUAAUGCUUGGGGAUCUGCCUUAGAGUGGAGGAUAACCAUUGGAAACGAUGGCUAAUACUGCAUAGUAUCUGCGGAUUAAAGGGGGCUUAGGCUCUUGCUUUAAGAUGAACCCAAGUGGGAUUAGCUAGUUGGUGAGGUAAUGGCUCACCAAGGCGACGAUCCCUAGCUGGUCUGAGAGGAUGAUCAGCCACACUGGAACUGAGACACGGUCCAGACUCCUACGGGAGGCAGCAGUGGGGAAUAUUGCACAAUGGGCGAAAGCCUGAUGCAGCCAUGCCGCGUGUGUGAAGAAGGCCCUAGGGUUGUAAAGCACUUUCAGUCAGGAGGAAAGGUUAGUAGUUAAUACCUGCUAGCUGUGACGUUACUGACAGAAGAAGCACCGGCUAACUUCGUGCCAGCAGCCGCGGUAAUACGAGGGGUGCAAGCGUUAAUCGGAAUUACUGGGCGUAAAGCGAGCGUAGGCGGCUGAAUAAGCUGGAUGUGAAAAACCGGGGCUCAACCUCGGCCGUGCAUUCAGAACUGUUUAGCUAGAGUCCUGUAGAGGGGGGUAGAAUUUCA